UACGUAGAAGACUAGUGUUAUUCAUCUUUAAUAGGUUUAAAGGGUACCUAGACGGUAUAAUUAGUCUUUAACAGGAAACGGUUAUACUAGAGUUAUAUAUGAGGAGGUGAGUAUUUGUGGAGUAGAGUUGAAAUUCUUUGAUACCAUGAAGACUGGUAAAGGCGAAAGCAACCUUUUAUCUAAUAACUGACGUUGAGGGACGAAGGCUCGGGUCGCGAACAGG
rnacentral:rRNA from 1 species